AUCUCUGAAGCCUGGAAGGAUUUUUCAAAUCGGAGAACUCUAAAUGUCUUGGAAGGAAAAGCGGGUGCUCUCAAAGUAAUGCCAUUCUUUUUAAGUUGUAUGGUGACAUUCAGAUUAGGCAUAUUUUACGCUGGUUCUGACAGACAGCUGUUUUGAUUUAUGACUGUAGCUCACUGCCAAUCCCAGGCCAUUCAAUUGCCCUGUGGAACACCACCUCUUUUGUGUUUCAAGUUUGGGGCAAUUUGGAUGCUAUCCAAAUGGCCCGUUUUGGUCAUUUCUGAAGGUCUUUCCACAGUUUCAUUCCUUAGCUUUAGAAUGUGGAUCACAACACUGAGUUUGCUUUUCUUCUUGACACCCUUGACUGUUACUGCACAGAGACCAUAGAAUCUACCAGCUCUAAGACCACAGAAUCCAUACAGCAAUGGUUUUGUGAGAAAAUGAAGGUCCAAAAUGCUGAAUUUCAAAGUGAUGAAGGACAUUGAUGCUUAACAAAACACAGCUUUGACCUGAUCAUAAUGUUAACGGUGUGAAGAUCAAGGAGAGAAGAAAGGCCAGAAGGUAUGCAGCAAGUCCAUCCAACAAACAAAUAAGAAGUUGUACAAGCCCGCAAGGGACAUGGACAUCGUGAAGAAGGUGUAUAAAAUCUUACGGGAGGACCUGCAGGAACGGAAUGGAAGAGAUUAAAGGAUCUGCAAGUAUUCCAGAUAACGAGCAAGAGACCAGAGCAGAGACCACAGGAGGAGGAGAAGUUUGUAAAAAGCUGCUUGCAGGAGAG
rnacentral:lncRNA from 1 species